rnacentral:sRNA from 1 species
UCCUAGCCCCGAUAGAAACGGCAUCCUUUUUUUGCGGAAGGAAUUGCGGCUGGAAAAAAGAUAUAGUGGAUAGCGGGAAUUACU